rnacentral:misc_RNA from 1 species
UACGAGGGGUCCCAGCGUUGUUCGGAAUUACUGGGCGUAAAGCGCAUGCAGGUGGCCUGCCAAGUCAGAUGUGAAAGCCCAGGGCUUAACCCUGGAAGUGCAUUUGAUACUGGUUGGCUUGAGUACGGGAGAGGGUAGUGGAAUUCCUGGUGUAGUGGUGAAAUACGUAGAUAUCAGGAGGAACAUCGGUGGCGAAGGCGGCUGCCUGGCCCGGUACUGACACUCAGAUGCGAAAGCGUGGGGAGCAAACAGG